UUUGGGAUGGUGAUAACCCCGGGAAACUGGGGUCAAUAACCAAUAGAUAUGGAUGCCUGGAAUGGUUCCAUAUUGAAAUGUUUGUACACCCAUGUCGUGUACAUACACCCGAGGAUGGGGCUGCGGCCGAUCAGGCUGUUGGUGAGGUAACGGCUCACCAAACCUUUGACCGGUACGGGCCAUGAGAGUGGUAGCCCGGAGAUGGGCACUGAGACAAGGGCCCAGGCCCUACGGGGCGCAGCAGGUACGAAACCUCCACAAUUCACGCAAGUGAGAUGGGGUUACCUCGAGUGCCGCCUGAAUAAGGUGGCUUUUCCGCUGUGUAACAAGCUGUGGGAAUAAGGGGGGGGCAAGACUGAUGUCAGCCGCCGCGGUAUCACCAGCCCCCCGAGUGGUGGGGAUGUUUAUUUGGCCUAAAGCGUCCGUAGCCGGCUCUGUAAAUCUCUCGUUAAAUCCAUCGUCCUAAGCGUUGGGCUGCGAGAGAGACUGCAGAGCUAGAGGGCGGGAGAGGUCAGCGGUAUUUCUGGGGUAGGGGCGAAAUCCAUUGAUCCCAGGAGGACCACCAGUGGCGAAGGCUGCUGACUUGAACACGCCUGACGGUGAGGGACGAAAGCUGGGGUAGCGAAUCGGAUUAGAUACCCGAGUAGUCCCAGCCGUAAACGAUGCAGGCUAGGUGUUGGGUUGGCCAUGUGCCGACUCAGUGCCACAGGGAAGCCAUUAAGCCUGCCGCCUGGGGAGUACGGUCGCAAGGCUGAAACUUAAAGGAAUUGGCGGGAGAGCACCACCAGGCGUGAAGCCUGCGGUUU
rnacentral:rRNA from 1 species